ACACCUUUGGGCUUUAUUUUUUCUGUCUUUUUCCAACAAUUAUUUAUUAGAUUUUCUACUCUGUAUCUUAUCUAUUUAUAUAAAAUAGAGUUUCUUCCCUCCUGGACGUUGACACGUCAUCAAUUCGUGUGUUCUGGUGGCGACACCUGUCCCUUUAACCAAUACUCUGCGUUUCAUUUAUUUCAUUUGACAUUUUGUUUGGGCUUUGAAUUACAUGGGUUUUUGAAUGGGUUAAGUCACUCGAAACGCGUCGUUUCUUUCUUCGAUGGUCGACUCAGUGUUUUUCUCCGCCGUCGCUAUCUGAUCUCCAAUACGAGGGUUUUGAUUCAUCUUCUUCCUCCGACUCUGAUUUUUACCAAACGGAAAAUUAUUAUCUUCUUAAAGUCCGCCUUGAUUCCAUCAUCUACGAUCUACAACUAUUAUCUGCUUCGCUAUUGGAAGGCGGUGGAAAUCUCAAACCUAUAGAAAGGGGUCUCCAGCGCCAUUAGUUUUCACAUUUUUUUUUUGAAUGAUGUUUUCACAUUUUCAUAUCGAUGUACCACUCAUAAUACACACAUAGAGCUAGGAGAACUGGCAACUUCCCAGAUAUUGCUUUCCAAUUUUAAGGCUGGACGUGGCAGCCGAACUGUUGUACCAUGCCUUAUGGGAGUCCACAUGCUGCUCUUAGAUGCUAAGUUUCAUUGCUUCUGCUCUGUGUUUGCCUAGCAGACUAGCACAUAACAACAACCGUGCAAUAGCAAGGAACACAUCUUUGAUUAUUAACAAAAGCGCAGAUACCAACAUUAGAAUGGGUAACUGAGAAAGAAGUUAAGCGACAAUAGGCAACAGCUUCUAGAAGCCUACACGCUCGAGUCUAUCAAUAGCAUACCAUUAUAUUUUACUUUAAUCUAAGGAAGUGGAAGAUGAUUCCUUACGCUGCUGGUGUCAUUAUCACUCUAGCUCUAACCCUUUUGGUCCGCAACGCUAAGAAAGACGAGAAACGAGGCGUGAUAGUCGAUGACGUCGGUGGAGAGCCAGGUCAUACCGUUAGGAACCACCGGUUCAAAUAUCCCGUCAGCUCUCACUGGGAAGACAUCUCCACACUCCCAGAGAUCUUCGAGAUCUCGUGCAAGAACCACAGCGACAUGUUUUCCCCGGGACCAGGAAGCUGAUCGCUAGAGAGGUUGAGGUGAGAAACUUCAUUUGGGUGAUUAUGAGUGGAAGACGUUCUGGCAGACGCUUGAAGCUGUGUGUUGUUUUGCUUCUGAGUUGGUUCAGAUGGGACACAAGUAUGAGGAACAUGUCGUCAUUUUUGCGGAUAUGAGAGAAGAGUGGUUCAUUGCGUUACAGGGUUGCUUCAGGCGUAAUGUCACUGUGGUUACUAUCUAUUCAUCUUUGGGAGAGGAAGCUCUUUGUCACUCGCUCAGUGAGGUCAAGCCCAAAGUUGAAGCUGAAUCAUCGGUUAAAAAAAUGUUGUAAUAGUAGAGUGGUCGAAUUGUAGUCCUACACACAAUUAUUGAUCGGAAACAGAACUAGAUGGAGAUAUAUCUUUGAAGAAGACAUUAAGCUUAAUGCUUAGCUCCAAACCAGCAUUCAAGAGA